AUACGAAAGGUGCAAGCGUUGUUCGGAUUUACUGGGCGUAAAGAGAGUGUAGGUGGUUUAUUAAGUCGGAUGUGAAAUCCCGGGGCUCAACCUCGGAACUGCAUUCGAUACUGAUAGGCUAGAGUUUGGGAGGGGUAAGCGGAAUUCCGUGUGUAGCAGUGAAAUGCGUAGAUAUACGGAGGAACACCUGAGGCGAAGGCGGCUUACCGGACCAAUACUGACACUGAGACUCGAAAGCGUGGGUAGCAAACAGGAUUAGAUACCCUAGUAGUCC
rnacentral:rRNA from 1 species